UGUUCUGUUCUGUUCUUUUCUGUUCUCUACUAUUCCGUUCUGUUCUAUUCUGUUCUCUUCUGUUCUAUUCUGUUCUUAUUCUAUUCUAUUCUGUUCUGUUCUAUUCCGUUCUGUUCUAUUCUAUUCUGUUCUGUUCUGUUCUAUUCUGUUCUUAUUCUGUUCUUAUUCUGUUCUGUUCUAUUCUGUUCUGUUCUAUUCUGUUCUAUUCUGUUCUAUUCUGUUCUGUUCU
rnacentral:misc_RNA from 1 species